rnacentral:rRNA from 1 species
AGGAUGAACGCUAGCGGCAGGCCUAAUACAUGCAAGUCGAACGGUAAGUAUGAUAGCAAUAUUAUACGAGAGUGACGUACGGGUGCGUAACACGUAUGCAACCUACCCCUUACAGGCGGAUAGCUCGGGGAAACUCGAAUUAACCCGUCAUAAUAUAAUUGAAUGGCAUCAUUUGAUUAUUAAAACUCCGGUGGUAAAGGAUGGGCAUGCGUCUGAUUAGUUAGUUGGCGGGGUAACGGCCCACAAGACGAUGAUCGAGUAGGGGAACUGAGAGGUUGACUCCCCCACACUGGCACUGAGAGUACCGGGCCAGACUCCGUACGGGAGCAGGCAAGGUAAGGGAAUAGUUGGACAAGUGGAUGGACAAGGUUCAGAACCAGCCAGUCGCCGCGUGACGAAGGGAAA